rnacentral:rRNA from 1 species
UACGGGGGGGGCAAGCGUUGUUCGGAAUUACUGGGCGUAAAGGGUUUGUAGGUGGCUCGCUAAGUCAGACGUGAAAUCCCUCAGCUUAACUGGGGAACUGCGUCUGAAACUGAUGAGCUUGAGUGCAGGAGAGGAACGCGGAAUUCCAGGUGUAGCGGUGAAGUGCGUAGAUAUCUGGAGGAACACCGGUGGCGAAGGCGGCGUUCUGGACUGCAACUGACACUGUAAAACGAAAGCCAGGGGAGCAAACGGG